GCCAGCCCGCUCAGAAACUCAAAGGAAUUGACGGGGCCGCACAAGCGAGGAGCAUGUGGUUAAUUCGAUGAUACGCGAGGAACCUUACCUGGGCUCGAACGUAAGAUGACUGUAGGUGAAAGCUUACAUCUCUUCGGAGCAUUUUACGAGGUGCUGCAUGGUUGUCGUCAGCUCGUGCCGUGAGGUGUCGGUUAAGUCCCAUAACGAGCGCAACCCCUACCUUUAGUUGCCAUCAGGUUAAGCUGGGGACUCUAAAGGAACUGCCUACGCAAGUAGUGAGGAAGGCGGGGAUGACGUCAAAUCAGCACGGCCCUUACGUCCAGGGCUACACACGUGCUACAAUGGCCGAUACAGAGGGCAGCUACCUGGUGACAGGAUGCAAAUCUCCAAAGUCGGUCUCAGUUCGGAUCGGAGUCUGCAACCCGACUCCGUGAAGUUGGAUUCGCUAGUAAUCGCGCAUCAGCCAUGGCGCGGUGAAUACGUUCCCGGGCCUU
rnacentral:rRNA from 1 species